UAUUUUCUUAGUCUAGAUUAAUUUCAGAAAUGCAACGAUUUGGGGGUGUUUUCCUUCCAACCAUACAUAUGGAGAACAAGUAAGGUAAAGGAUUUUUUAACUAGCCAGGGAUCAUUGUCCUGUAUUACUGAAAUUGCGUCUAGAAUAGUAUGGAUACUUGAUGACAAAGAAAAGAAUACUCAAGACCCAGAAAUUGUAUUGCCAACAACUUUAAUGUCACAAAGUCAUGCUUGGGAAGUUUGUCUACUUGCAAUUACCAAACAGCUCUAGAUUUGUAUAUUCUAGUCUUUCAUUCUAUAUGUCAAUGUACAAAGAAUAUAGCAACAUAGCAAGUAGCA